GAGAAUUCAUCUGGAACGAUGUACCUCCGAGUGUAACAAAAAGUAUUGCAACAUUUCGUCCAUUUGUCGGCCAAUCAAUCGGACGUCGAAGAUCAAGUCAUUGGAUAUAUACCUGAAUCCAAAUGUUGUACUAGGCAGCAAGGUUUAUGUGGAAGUUAUUACCUAUAAAAUGUUCCGAACUCAAUAUCGUCAGCAUAUGAUACGCGUUAAGCAGGAACUAUGCCCAUUGCUUUUGUAUAAGAACCAGUCAUUUUUUCGGCUAGCUGAUGAGGGACUUAUAAAACGUAUUAAGGCUGGAGUUUACGGAAAUUUCUUGGAUCCAUGCCCUAUGAAAGGACAUCGAUACCUUCUUCCAAGAACUACCAAUUCAGAUGAUGAUGCCUACCAUCUUCCCUUAGUUCCUGUCGGAAGGUGGAAACUAGAACUUGUGUUUACUAAAGGCGAGGAGCGUAUACUGUCCUUUGCUGACUACUAUGAAAUAAAGGCAACAGGCGCUAUAGAGUUUUAAGAACAAUAUGACAAUACUGCAACAUCAU